GCUUAGCCCCGAUUGAAGUGGCAUCCUUUUUAAUUGUCAGUUCGAGUGAAUUUGUGAAGAAUGAGUAAAUUUGUAUCGAGAACAAAUUAAAAAGAUAUAACGGAAAGCGGGAAUUAGC
rnacentral:sRNA from 12 species